CGCUGCUCUGUGCGGUUGUGUUUAGCGGCGAGUCACGAAAUACGAUAGAAACUUAAUUAACUUAAUAUCAAAAUAGAAUUCAAAUCGUAACAGUUGCAAGCAUUCGAAUUGAAAGCAAGUUUAAGUACGUAGUGUUUGCAAAGUGAACAAGUGCCGUUUUUUUAGACCGUUACAGUUGCAUUUGUUGCGGAAAUUGUCAGUACAGUGCCAGCAAUUAGUGCAUGUAUCUUAGCAAAAAGAAGAAACAAAACAAAAGGAUUGUCUUUAAACUGUGCACAAACAAAUCAUAAGUAAAGAGAAAGAAAUACGUCAACGUCAACGCAAACGAAAAACGCCCACAAUUAAGACAAACGCGCGUAUUUAAUUUAUGCAACGAGCUAAUUAAUUAAUUUGUCAAAGUGUUGCAUGCGACGACAAUCAGCCGAGGAACAAAGAGAGCAGCUGCAACUGCAACAACAACAACAACAACGGUUCAUUGAUCCACAGAGAGCCACAAUUCCCAUUGCGCAGUUGCUUUUACAAACUUCAGUCACGACUUGAAGUUCAAAGUGCGCCACAGACAACCGCAGACAAACUCACAACAACAACAACAACAAUAGCUACAACAAGAACAGCAACAACAUGUCCAACACCUGCCAAAGCUACGCAUCCGUGUUCAUAGUUCUAGGCACAUUCCUAGCCAUUCUGGUGGCGGCCCAGACUGCGCCCGUAUCCACAACAACACAAGCUGAGAUCUACCUGUCACAGUUUGGCUAUCUGCCCGCCUCGGCGCGCAAUCCGGCCAAUAGCGGACUGCAGGAUAAGCACACAUGGGUCAGUGCCAUACAGGAGUUCCAGAGCUUUGCUGGACUCAAUAUCACUGGCGAACUAGAUGAGGAGACAAUGAAAUUGAUGUCACUGCCACGUUGCGGUGUCAGAGAUCGUGUCGGCACCGGAGAUAGUCGGUCGAAGCGUUAUGCACUCCAGGGCAGUCGCUGGCGUGUCAAGAACCUCACCUAUAAAAUCUCCAAGUAUCCCAAGCGCUUGAAGCGCAAUGAUGUCGAUGCGGAAAUCGCACGCGCCUUUGCCGUCUGGAGCGAGGAUACAGAUCUAACAUUCACCCGAAAAACAUCGGGACCCGUGCAUAUUGAGAUCAAAUUCGUUGAGAGCGAGCAUGGCGAUGGCGAUGCCUUCGAUGGCCAAGGAGGCACUUUGGCUCACGCCUUCUUCCCCGUCUUUGGCGGCGAUGCCCACUUUGAUGAUGCCGAACUCUGGACCAUAGGCUCGCCACGCGGCACGAAUCUGUUCCAGGUAGCCGCCCACGAAUUUGGCCACUCUCUGGGCCUCUCGCACUCAGAUCAGAGCUCAGCGCUGAUGGCGCCAUUCUAUCGCGGCUUCGAGCCCGUCUUCAAACUGGAUGAGGACGACAAGGCGGCCAUACAAUCGCUAUAUGGACGCAAGACCAAUCAGUACACGCCCACCAAUGUCUACCCGCCCAGCACGCACAGACCAUCGUUUACGCCACCGAAGGUGCCGCUGGAUGAUUCCAUAUGCAAGGACUCCAAGAUCGACACCCUGUUCAACUCAGCGAAUGGCGAAACGUACGCCUUCAAGGGUGACAAAUACUACAAACUGACAACAGACUCCGUGGAGGAGGGCUACCCGCAACUCAUAUCGAAGGGUUGGCCAGGAUUGCCCGGCAACAUCGAUGCAGCAUUCACGUACAAGAAUGGCAAAACAUACUUCUUCAAGGGCACUCAAUACUGGCGUUAUCAGGGCACUCAAAUGGACGGUGCCUAUCCCAAGGAGAUUAGCGAGGGCUUCACGGGCAUACCCGAUCAUUUGGAUGCGGCCAUGGUUUGGGGCGGCAAUGGCAAGAUCUACUUCUUCAAGGGCAGCAAAUUCUGGCGCUUCGAUCCGGCCAAACGACCACCCGUCAAGGCCAGCUACCCCAAGCCCAUCUCGAACUGGGAGGGCGUGCCCAACAAUCUGGACGCGGCGCUCAGAUACACAAAUGGCUACACGUACUUCUUCAAGGGCGACAAGUACUAUCGCUUCCACGAUGCACGCUUUGCGGUGGAUACGGCCACGCCGGCAUUCCCCAGGCCGACGGCACACUGGUGGUUCGGCUGCAAGAACACGCCCUCGUCCACAGUACCGCAGAUUCCAAAUACGAACACAAAUACGGGCACUGGCAUGGGUCUGCUGCCCGGCUGGAUGUGGAGCCUAACGAACCGAUACUUUUAAAAAGCGCGCGCUAGUUCCAGCUCCAGUUCCUUCACAGUUUCGUUUCGUGUGUUCUGUCCAACAUCAACCGUAUAACUGUAUUAAUAUCGUAUACAUAUAUAUACAAACAUACAUACAUUUAUUGUAUCUGUAUUUAUACCAAUGCAAAACGCGUGCCUUAAGUUGUAUUACGUCCAUAUAAAUAUGCCUGCUUGAGUGAUCUCUGUCUGAAAAGUAAAAUGUCACAAAAUAUAUACACACAUAUAUAUAUAUAAAAAAAAAAGAAAAAUCACACACAAAUGCCACGCCCAAAAAAAAACAAAAGCCUGCGCCGCUGCCGCCCAUUGAAAAACGCCCAGAAACAAUCAAGAAAACGCCAAUUCAAUUACGAAUUCAACAUAAAACAUUUGCGCACAGCGUGGAACACUGUCGGCGAUAAUCAAUCCAAUGAUGAGCCCGAAGUGGCGGAACGUACGGGAUCGGGUUCGGGAUCUGGUGCGACGUCCAAUCAGCUGCCCAGUAGCUCCGCUGCCAGUGUGCUGCUGAGCACCAUUCUGCUCUGCUGCCUAUCGAAAUUCAUAAUUAGCUAAAAUAACUGAACGUUGCGCAUUUCUUAGAAAUUUAGUUAUCCAUGGAUAAUAUACAAUUUUAGUAAAGUUUAUACAAUUUAAGCGCACGUUGCAAGAGAUUCAGUUCAGGCUACCAAAAUAUAUUUGAAUUUUGUAUUCGAAUAUAAUACGACUUAUAAAACAAAGUAUAUAUAUAUAAAUACAUAUAUGAUGUGAAACACAGGUGCCUUAAAAUCGUUGUUGUGUAAAUACAAAAGCAGAAAAGCAGCAUUAAAUGUAAUUUAACUUAAAUCUUAAAUAGUUAUUAACAUUCCAUAAAAUUGGAAAGUAUGCAAAACUAAACAGGAGAUCAGAAUUCAUAUCAUAGCCGAGACUACGAGUAUAAUAUGUAACUUAAAGAUGACAAUUUGCGAUAUUAACUAUAACGAGCCAUAUGAAAAAAAACAAAAAAAAAUCGAUCAACAUAUGAACAUAUUUUUAGUUUAGUUCGAAUUGUUACCCGACAAAUUCAAGCCGUGUAACAAUUAACUAUAGAAAUUAAGGCUCUUUAAUCAAAGGACAUAGGAUCGUAAAAAAAAAAAAAAAAA